UUUUAUGUAACAUACAGAAUGGACUUUACAAGCGUUUGAAAGAGAGACUGCGGAGGAAGUGGUCGGUUGGUCAGGAAGUGAAUGGCGGAGUCGAAUGAGUUGUGUUGCAGGUGUUUAAACACCAAAGAACGUGGCGUUCCCAGCAGUCUGAGCGGACAUGGAUGAAUCAUCUUCACUUCUCAUUAGCAGUGAUGAAUAUUUUCUCCAACUGUUGCCAACAACGCUGGAUGAGACAAGUCUGCAUGAACAGUAGGAAAGCAACAGUAAUUACAUAUUACCACAGAACCACAACUACGUGCCCACCGUACCAGUCAUGGAUGGAACAGAAUGUGUAGCAGUCUACCUCCAGAGUAUUGUUGCUUUUUCCCUAGAAUACUUCAGAGGUUCCUCUUUCGCCCUAGUAUCUUAAUUUACAAAUUGGGGAUAAAUAUUUUUAAAAUUCAUUAUAUUUGAAAGAUACAACUGUAUGUGUGUCAUCCAGUUGAUAAUUUCUAAGACCUAAACACAAUCCAUACUUUAAAAUUAUAUAUAAAUUAAAUCACAUUUUACAAUUAUCAUUUUGCUAUAAAACAAAGCAUUUGAUAUGGUCACAAAUUGUUGCCUAGUUUUUGUUCAGAACAGGCUUGUAGCUCUGCCUACAUUCUGCCUUCAUCAGAGUGGGAUUUGGGAGUCUUUACCAGAACUUAAACGGUCCAGCCAAGUCCCCUGUUAGACUGCGUCUCUGGUGGUAAGACUCUCCACUCCCUCGUAGCAACUUCCUGCACUUUGUUGCCGAGUUUCCUAAUUCCAGUGGCCAUUUUUCGUUCUGGGCGGAACGCAGCUGGUACUGGUAGCACAAAUGUUGGGCUGUGGCUUGCAGGAUGUAACUGUUCCCCAUUUUGAUAUGGUUGUAAGGUAGUUAUUUAGAGGUCUGUCUCAGUAUAGCGAUUACAUUUUAUUGCCGUCUUGUGCCGCGUGCCACAAUUUUGGCUGCCGCUGAACUUAAACUCUGAAGAUUAUCAGCAGUUUGCAGGUGUUUCUCCGCCAUAAAAAUGCUGUUAUUCAUAGGAAUAGACUGCGCUUAGCUAUUUAUCCAGUGAUGUUGUGCAUAAACUGCGUUGAUUUACUUUUUUCAUUUGUGGGUUCUGUUGUCACAAAGCGAGUUUCUCCUCAGGAACCUGCAUUAAAAGAAAAUAGAUGUAUCGGAUUACCUUCUGAUAUUUUUAUAGCACCAUUGCUCCUUUCUUUAUUUCGUGAGCUACUUCAUCCAUUUUCCCUGGGCGAAGCAUUCUUCUUACAUUCCAAGUUGCAAUACUUAAGUCACAUUUUUGCCUUUGAU